rnacentral:rRNA from 1 species
GUGGGAAUCUGCCUUUUGGUCUGGAAUAACACGAGGAAACUUGUGCUAAUACCGGAUAAGCCUUUACAGGGAAAGUUUUAAUGCCAAAAGAUGAGCCCGCACUUGAUUAGCUAGUUGGUAAGGUAAUGGCUUACCAAGGCAACGAUCAAUAGCUGUUCUUAGAGGAAGACCAGCCACAUUGGGACUGAGACACGGCCCAAACUCCUACGGGAGGCAGCAGUGGGGAAUCUUGCACAAUGGGGGAAACCCUGAUGCAGCGAUGCCGCGUGAGUGAAGAAGGCCUUUGGGUUGUAAAACUCUUUCGUCGGGGAAGAAAAUGACUGUACCCGAAUAAG